CCUACGGGAGGCAGCAGUGGGGAAUAUUGCACAAUGGGGGAAACCCUGAUGCAGCGACGCCGCGUGAAGGAAGAAGUAUUUCGGUAUGUAAACUUCUAUCAGCAGGGAAGAAAAUGACGGUACCUGACUAAGAAGCCCCGGCUAACUACGUGCCAGCAGCCGCGGUAAUACGUAGGGGGCAAGCGUUAUCCGGAUUUACUGGGUGUAAAGGGAGCGUAGGCGGUUUAGCAAGGCAGAAGGGAAAGCCCGGGGCUUAACCCCGGGACUGCUUUUGAAACUGUUGAACUGGAGUGCAGGAGAGGCAAGUGGAAUUCCUGGUGUAGCGGUGAAAUGCGUAGAUAUUAGGAGGAACACCAGUGGCGAAGGCGGCUUACUGGACUGUAAAUGACGCUGAGGCUCGAAAGCGUGGGGAGCAAACAGGAUUAGAUACCCUUGUAGUC
rnacentral:rRNA from 1 species